rnacentral:lncRNA from 1 species
UCUAAAACACCAUGUGCUCACCUUCGCCUCUAAACUAAAGUUGCAACAAACUCGAAUUUUAGCACUGGUAACUAGCUAGUUUUUGGACCUACAUCACAAAACAAAUGUCAAAUGUAGUAUGAGUACCAAAAUAACAUGUACGCAAUCGGUAUCAUAGGCCAACUAAGCAAGAAAGGUAAAAGCAAUAUAGAAUGCUAGAAUAAAAUACAAACAGAUGUCA